UGUCCUUCUCUUUCAAUUUCUUCUGCAGUUGUUUGGGGGCAGCGCCAGUUUGGGCUGAAUUGAUUGCGCCAUCUGCUGUUUAUGAAGAACAUUUCAGUUGAAGGUCCACAUCCGGAUUCGGGUGUGAGUCGCGUUCAAAGUAACUGGAAAAUACAAAAAAUAUUAUUUUAUCUUGCGCAUACGGGCAGAUACUCGCAUACAUUCAACGUUUCCGCAUAUAAAAUAACUUACGCAGCCGUGUACUCCAAUAAAAAUGACUCUUGAACAAAAUAGGACCGAGCAUCAUGCGAUUCUCUUCCCCUUUUUGUAAUGGAAAUAUCUCCGAAUUCACCCCGUCAUUGAAUGCAUCAUUUUACGUCAGGCAAACAUGGGACUGUCACCACUUAAGCGAGACGAAGACCUCGCGAAAUUCAACGAAACUACGUUGUCUUUGCCAAAACACUCGUACUGGUUCGACUUUUGGCUCUUCGUCGCCUUUAAUGUCGUGUUUUUUCUGAUUAUGUAUUUCCUCGUACCCUAAAAUCGGUGACCAUGAAGCGACUCUGAAGACUGAACAUGGGUUACUAGUCUUGCUCAUCCUAAUGGCAAUGCUAUCUCAUCUUUCGACUGAAUUCAACACAAUACGACAUCUGUGUUUUAAUUCAAACACUGAAAAUGUGCCUUUUUUAAACACCUGUUUUCAUUGACACGUAAUGUCGCACUGUGUGUGGCUCUGCGAUCUGGACAUCUGGAGGACUACUGCAUGAAUGAUGGAUUCGUAUCUCACUUGUGAUCAUAAAAACGAGUGUUCUGUUUCCCCCCGCCAAGAAAAACAAAAACAACCAACCCUCCUCCAAAAAACGUGUCACAUGGGCGAAUGUAUGACGUCAGUCCGGGUUUGGUGACGACAACAAGGCUGCUUGCUGAGCGUGAUGCCAUGCUAGGUCAUCCAGGAACAUUGGAGACAUUUGCACAUGGUGAAAUAAAUCACUUAAAAUUUGAGUCCAUGGACAGGGCAGCGCAGACACACAAAAUGGCGCACGAGUUGACGUGUUGCCGUUUCCCAGCAAAGGGGCAACCUCAAGUACAUGCCCAUGGUCUUCACUGAAGGAGUGGAUAUAAGUCGAUACGUUGGAGUAAACGUCCAGAGCUAACCUGUAAAUGUCGACAGUUUUUGAAUAUUUUGGGGGGCAAAAAGGCCACUGCUGACGAAGAUGAUGUGGCAGACCCAGACUUUUUCUACCGACCACCACCAUCGUCAUCCCGACAGACGUCGCCGGCUGUGGACGACUUCCAAGAGGAGCGUCGAGUCUGAAGCGGCCCGCUCGGGGAUCCAACAGGGCCCGUGGGGAUCGUCAUCCUGCCUCUCAGGGUCACCUUUGACUCCUCCCGCAAGAAGUUGUGGAACUCGUCGCGGGUGAUGGGCGGCUGCUCUCGGAUCUGCCUGUAGUACGUCUUCACCUCCUGCUUGAACUUGGGAAUGUCUUUGGCGUAGAGCAGCUUGUUGGUGGGCGCGUGCUGCGAGACGGAAACGUUCAACGCGCUCACCAAAGAAGCGGGCGUGCCGGCCGGCAGCUUACCUUGCCAAGUUGCGUGUCGCUGAGGGAGAAGGAGUCCAUGAAGGCCUGAGCGGUGACAGACAAGCAUCCGUCCAUGUGGGGACUUUUGUCCAUGUCGAAGACAAACUGGGGGUUCUUGAGGAUGUUCACCCAGAAGCGCAGAGGUAAACUGCAAAUGGAGAGCAAAUGCGAAUGUCAUAUUUCAAUGAUCAUACAAACCCCCUUCUGUGAAAAUUGUCUGGCGACAUUGAUAUGUGACAAUUAUUAAUAAAAUCAGACUGAUGUUUUAUGAUCA